rnacentral:rRNA from 1 species
GACGAACGCUGGCGGCGCGCCUAACACAUGCAAGUCGAACGGAGCUUAGAGAGCUUGCUUUUUAAGCUUAGUGGCGAACGGGUGAGUAACGCGUGAGUAACCUGCCCUAGAGUGGGGGACAACAGUUGAAAACGACUGCUAAUACCGCAUAAGCGCACAGUGCCGCAUGGCACGGUGUGAAAAACUCCGGUGGUCUGGGAUGGACCCGCGUCCGAUUAGUUAGUUGGCGGGGUAACGGCCCACCAAGACCGCGAUCGGUAGCCGACCUGAGAGGGUGACCGGCCACAUUGGGACUGAGACACGGCCCAGACUCCUACGGGAGGCAGCAGUGGGGAAUAUUGCACAAUGGAGGAAACUCUGAUGCAGCGACGCCGCGUGAGCGAAGAAGUAUUUCGGUAUGUAAAGCUCUGUCAGCAGGGAAGAUAAUGACGGUACCUGACCAAGAAGCCCCGGCUAACUACGUG